rnacentral:tRNA from 74 species
GGGCUAUUAGCUCAGUGGUAGAGCGCGCCCCUGAUAAUUGCGUGGCGAGGUCUCUGGUUCAAGUCCAGGAUGGCCCA